rnacentral:rRNA from 2 species
GAGAAAGUAAGGAAGGGCGCAUGGAGGAUGCCUAGGCUCUCAGAGGCGAGGAAGGACGCGAUAAGCUGCGAUAAGCCCCGGGGAUCGGCACAUACGAAUCGAUCCGGGGAUCUCCGAAUGGGGCAACCCGGCUGGUUGAAGACCAGUCACCUGUUUACAGGGGCGAACGCGGGGAACUGAAACAUCUAAGUACCCGCAGGAAGAGAAAAUAACAAUGAUUCCCCAAGUAGUGGCGAGCGAACGGGGAAGAGCCCAAACCAACCUUGUUACGGCAAGGUCGGGGUUGUAGGACCACGCCGUGGGACCAAGAAAUAAAGCUUAACUACCUGGGAAGGUAGGCCGCAGAGGGUGAUAGCCCCGUCAGCGAAAGGUUCUUGGCCCUAGUGGGAUCCUGAGUAGGGCGGGACCAGAGGAAUCCCGUCUGAAUCCACCGGUACCAUCCGGUAAGGCUAAAUACUCCUGAGAGACCGAUAGUGAACCAGUACCGUGAGGGAAAGGUGAAAAGAACCCUGAAUAAGGGAGUGAAAUAGAACCUGAAACCAUGCGCCUACAAGCGGUCGGAGCCCUUCUGUGGGGUGACGGCGUGCCUUUUGCAUAAUGAGCCUACGAGUUACUCCUCCCUGGCGAGGUUAAGUGUUUUAAAACACGGAGCCGCAGCGAAAGCGAGUCUGAACAGGGCGCACAGUCAGGGGGGGUAGACGCGAAACUUUGUGAUCUACCCUUGGGCAGGAUGAAGUUGCGGUAACACGCAAUGGAGGUCCGAACCAGUUUCCGUUGAAAAGGAUUUGGAUGACCUGAGGGUAGGGGUGAAAGGCCAAUCAAACUGAGAAAUAGCUCGUACUCCCCGAAAUGCCUUUAGGGGCAGCGUCGAGGUUGAGUCUCGUGGAGGUAGAGCUACCGAUAGGACUAGGGGGAGUCAAAUCCUACCGAAUCCUGACGAACUCCGAAUGCCACGUGACAUACUCGGCAGUGAGGCUUGGGGUGCUAAGGUCCCAGGCCGAGAGGGAAAGAACCCAGACCGUCAGCUAAGGUCCCUAAAUAUACGCUAAGUUGAACAAAGGAGGUCCAGUUGCCUAGACAGCCAGGAUGUUGGCUUGGAAGCAGCCAUUCAUUUAAAGAGUGCGUAACAGCUCACUGGUCGAGCGGCAGGGCAUCGAUAAUAAUCGGGCAUCAAGCGUAUUACCGAAGCUACGGAUUGCAGUUUACUGCAGUGGUAGGGGAGCAUUCCCGUCGGCGGAGAAGGUACCUGGCAAUGGGUGCUGGAGCGUCGGGAAAAGCAAAUGUAGGCAUAAGUAACGAUAAUGCGGGCGAGAAACCCGCACACCGAAAGACUAAGGUUUCCUGAUCAACGCUAAUCGGAUCAGGGUUAGUCGGGUCCUAAGGCCGAUGCGAGAGCUAAGGUCGAUGGACAACUGGUUAAUAUUCCAGUACUAGCGUGACUGAGUGAUGCGGUGACGGAGAAGUGAAAGGCCCGCCUGGUGACGGAAUACCAGGUUAAAGGACGUAGGUAUAGGCAUGGUAGUCAAGUACGCCAAGCCUGCUGAAACCCGAAAGUACCCCAAGCCCCCGGGCGAGGGGAUAGCGGCCCUAAUCAGACUCCCAAGAAAACCCGCUAAGCGUUUCAAAGGUCACGCUACCCGUACCGCAAUCCGACACAGGUAGUCGAGGAGAGAAUCCUAAGGUGCUCGAGUGAAUCACGGCCAAGGAACUCGGCAAAAUGGCCCUGUAACUUCGGGAGAAGGGGCGCUUCCUCUACGCAAGUAGAGAAGCCGCAGUGAAGAGGCCCAGGCGACUGUUUAACAAAAACACAUGGCUAUGCGAAAUCGAGAGAUGAGGUAUAUGGCCUGACACCUGCCCGGUGCCGGAAGGUUAAGGGGGGGAGUUAGCCGCAAGGCGAAGCUCUGAACCGAAGCCCCGGUAAACGGCGGCCGUAACUAUAACGGUCCUAAGGUAGCGAAAUUCCUUGUCGGGUAAGUUCCGACCUGCACGAAUGGUGUAACGAUCUGGGCGCUGUCUCAGCCGUGAGCUCGGUGAAAUUGUAGUCUCGGUGAAGAUGCCGAGUACCCGCUACGGGACGGAAAGACCCCGUGCACCUUUACUAUAGCUUAACAUUGACUCUGGGUAACUGAUGUGUAGGAUAGGUGGGAGACUGUGAUCCGGCGUCGCUAGGCGUCGGUUAGUCAACGUUGAAAUACCACCCUUCAGUUGCUUGGAGCCUAAUCCCUGCGUGGGAGACAUUGUUUGGUGGGUAGUUUGACUGGGGUGGUCGCCUCCAAAAGAGUAACGGAGGCUUUCAAAGGUACCCUCAGCACGCUUGGUAACCGUGCGCAGAGCGCAAUAGCAGAAGGGUGCUUGACUGUGAGGCCCACAAGCCGAGCAGGGCCGAAAGGCGGAUAUAGUGAUCCGGUGGUUCCGCAUGGAAGGGCCAUCGCUCAAAGGAUAAAAGGUACGCCGGGGAUAACAGGCUGAUCUCCCCCAAGAGCUCAUAUCGACGGGGAGGUUUGGCACCUCGAUGUCGGCUCGUCACGUCCUGGGGCUGGAGAAGGUCCCAAGGGUUCGGCUGUUCGCCGAUUAAAGUGGCACGCGAGCUGGGUUCAGAACGUCGUGAGACAGUUCGGUCCCUAUCUGUAGUGGGCGUCGGAUGUUUGAGGGGACCUGUCCUUAGUACGAGAGGACCGGGAUGGACGAGCCUCUGGUGGACCUGUUGUGGCGCCAGCCGCAGCGCAGGGUAGCUACGCUCGGAUGAGAUAAGCGCUGAAAGCAUCUAAGUGCGAAACUCACCCCAAGAUGAGACAUCCCUUUAAGGGCCGUGGGAGACGACCACGUCGAUAGGCGGCAGGUGUAAAGGCAGAGAUGCCAUAGCCGAGCCGUACUAAUUGCCCGAGAACUUUCCCGCC